AACGGAGGAUGCAAGCGUUAUCCGGAAUGAUUGGGCGUAAAGCGUCCGUAGGUGGUUUUGUAAGUCCGUGGUUAAAGCGUGGAGCUUAACUCCAUAACGGCCAUGGAAACUACAUAACAUGAGUGAAGUAGGGGUAGAGGGAAUUCCCAGUGUAGCGGUGAAAUGCGUAGAGAUUGGGAAGAACACCGGUGGCGAAAGCGCUCUACUGGACUUAUACUGACACUGAGGGACGAAAGCUAGGGGAGCGAAAGGG
rnacentral:rRNA from 1 species